CCAAUUGCUACCAGAGUUUUCAAAGCAGGAUUCUUCAAUUUCAAUUUGUUGAACCUUCUGAACCCGUCCUUGCCGUAGUUUGUAGCUAUUUAAAGGUUCAAUUUACUCUUCCAUUCGCAGCGGUUAUUUUCUUCAUCGAAGCAAGUAUGAUGAGGACAGGGCUGACGAUUUAACUCAGUGAAACUGCCGUCGAAACCUUCAGAACACAUAACAAAUCCGCAAGUCUCUGGAUCUCGGACGUUUCCAGCUUUGGUACACAGAUUAGUGGUUGGUUCUUCAGAAUAAAAAUCAUCGGGCUCUUCUGUAGCACCUUGAUCACCUUCUUCAGGAUUACUUUCCUCGUCGUUUGAGGAACCUUUGUCCUCUGAGCCAUUACUGCCCUCUUCUGCACCACCCUCGACUCUUCCCGUCAUUUCUUCUCCAGGAUUACCAUCAGCAACAACUUCGUCAGUAUCACUCGGCUCCAUGGACAUAGGAACGUCAACAUCGACGAACCCAGCUUUGAAGUACAAAAAUGAAGUUAUCAUCGGAAGGGUAGGCCGCGGCCAAACAAAGAGUCGCCAGAAGAAUAAUGAAACGCAUCUGGAAUAAAAAUAUAAUAAUCACUUAA